rfam:Danio rerio chromosome 23, GRCz11 reference primary assembly.
UACAUCUGCCGGCAACUAGCUCACUGCAGCUCUCACAUGGUCGUCCACUGAAGCUAAGCAAGGCUGCGCUGGGUCAGUACCUGGAUGGGAGACCACAUGGGAAAGAUAGGUUACUGCUGAAA